GGCCACGACAGUAAAAUUUUUACUGUCCAUUCGAUUUGUAAUUGACGGUGACGAUCGGUUCUCACCGUGCCAACUGUAGCACCUCGAAAAUAUCUCGAUUCUGGAUCUUUCUUUGACCUCCUCGGAGCAUACGGAGACGGCGCCGGCGGCGAUGCUUCUCCUGGCGCCCCCCUGCUCUCUCCACUCGCACCGGCGGCAGAAGAGGGGCGCGGCGUGGCGAGCAGACCGGGCGGGCUCCGCAUCAUGCCGCCUCCGCUCCGGCCGCCAAAGGGCGCGGCGCCCUGGGCCUCCUUCUCUGCGACGCCCUCGUCACCGCGGAGGCCCCCGCCUACAUUCUCAUUCUUCUUCCCCUCGUCUCGGUCGACCACUGCCUGUCCUCGCGCCGCAGCUGGUAUGGCCGAGCGGCACGAGGCCGCUGCCUUCGCCGCUGCCCGCCCACGGCCGGUCCGAAGCGAAUGCACAUGGCUGGCCCGACUUCGCCGCUCCUCGCCCGCGGUCGGUCCGUCGCGGCCGUAGCCGCCCAUGGUCGGUCCGUCGCCACCGCAGCCGCCUCCCCGCGGCCUGCCCAGCACCACGGUUCCUCGCUCGUGGUCGGCCCGGCGGCGACCGCCGCUCCCAGUCCGCGGCCGUAACGGCGUCGUUGCUCUCCGCUCACCGGCGGCGACCGCGUCCCCCGCUGCGAGCACUGCUGGGCCUACUUCAGCAGCAACUCCGGUCUGAAGCGCGGGGCUGGUCCACGCCCUGCGGAAGCUCGACGGAUUCGACGACGACACCGAACGCCGAUUCCAGCGCCCCGACGCGUGCCCCAGUUCAACUCUUAUUUUAUCGACCUCGAGAUCUCAGCGAGAUAAAACCACAACUAUACGGGUACAAGUUCUACAGCUCACCUCCUCUUCGUCUUCCAGCAAGGAGCAGCAGUCAGCAGGAAGCCGAGGAAAAAACCAAGCUGCUUGGAUCUGCAGAGACUCAGGUCGGCCAGAUUGCUCAUUUCGUAGCCAGCAAAUGAAGUUUCCACUCUGAAAACAGGAUCUGUAGAUACUCUUUGUAUUCAGACAUCAAGCUUCAGUCAGUUAUCGACGCUAUUAGUGACUGCAUAAAUGGGAUCCCCAUCACAUGCUGCUUCAGAGCCACAGACAGGUUCCAAUCCAGUUGUAUUUCAGUUACCGUGAAUUUAAAUGUCGUCGUCAGCAUCUGCAUCUAUAGUUACUGAUGAUUUUUUACAUCCUGAAACAAUUUUCCCACCACAUUGUAGGUAACAUGUUCAUUCAUUUGCUGUUUAUUAAACUCUUAUUGCCCAAAGCAUUAGUAUAACUCGCUAUUCCCUUUACAUGUAGUUACCUGUUUAAUUUGGUAUGAGCACCCUGUGAUAGAAAAUUUCCAUGCUCAAUCAACAAGGAGCAGCAGUCAGCAGGAAGCCGAGGAAAAAACCAAGCUGCUUGGAUCUGCAGAGACUCAGGUCGGCCAGAUUGCUCAUUUCGUAGCUAGCAAAUGAAGUUUCCACUCUGAAAACAGGAUCUGUAGAUACUCUUUGUAUUCAGACAUCAAGCUUCAGUCAGUUAUCGACGCUAUUAGUGACUGCAUAAAUGGGAUCCUCAUCACAUGCUGCUUCAGAGCCACAGACAGAAAUGGAGGAGCAGAGUGAAACCGCCACAGGAGGUGAGGCAACAAUAGGAGUUGCUACAGGGAGCAACUUCCAACCUCCUCUUGAACUAGCCAUUCCUCUAAUAGAUGCUGCGCUGUCCGUGUCGCUUCAAUUUCCACUACGCUUUAACCCCAAGAAGCCGCUUCAUUUCAUACUAGCCAUUGUUGUAGCCACAGUGGCAGCAGUCAUAUGGAGAAGGCCGUUACACCUGAUCUUUGUGUAUUGUGGGCUGAAACUGCCACCAGUACCAGCAUGGAUGCGACCUAUUAUCAGCUACAUAAACUCACGUUUACCUCCACGCUUGCACCCAUUUAGAUGGCUAUGCAAAACCCUGAUCAAGAACAUAAAACUCUGUGUCAGCUCAGGCACACUUAUAUGGACAGUUAUCUUCAUCAUUUGCUUACCAAAAGGUGAAAGAAACAAGCUUGCAGUUAAGUGUAUCCACAACCUUUCUACUUUAGAUGGUUACUCCUUUACUGCUGACAUUGGCCCACAUUAUCGAAGCUGCAUGGUUCACAUUUGAUCCUGCUUAUUUAAUCGUUUCGUGGCAGUACCUUACUAGCUGGUGCAUGACCCAUUAAGUUGUAAUCUAGCUUCUAUUGGCAGUCGGCCUCCUUUUGAUGGAUAAAUCCAAUCCAUCUAAGAAACCAGCAAUGGAAUUGCUUCAGGUACUCCAGCAACUGCAUGAGCACUACCUGAUGAUGGCAGCAUCUUUUCAAGGUCUACAAUGCUGCUAUCAGACAUGCUCAUCAGCACCACCUAAGCACGGUACUAGCUGUACAAAGCCAUGACCAAGGAUCACCAACAGCACUUGGAGUGCCUUAGUAAGAAUUAAUAGUUAUGAGAACUAAACCUCUAGCUGAUGCAUAUUAAGUAUUUAAGUUCUUCGUUCCAUAUUAGAAUUGCUUGUUUAAUUUUGCGCAGCAUUUUGAAAAUAAAGCAAUGGUGCAUGUCUGUAUGGCCAACAAGAGAGCACAAUUCCAUUGCAAAUAUUUUGCAUCUUGCUACCUUAACCAAA